rnacentral:lncRNA from 1 species
CCCUCUUCCUGUCGAGGCAGCAGCCAUGGCUGCUUCUGAGGGUCCCGUGCAGGAUCUCUGCGAGGAAGCCACCUGCCCCAUCUGCCUGGAGUAUUUCAGGGAUCCAGUGAUCAUUCAUGAAUGCGGGCACAACUUCUGCCGAUCCUGCCUGAUCCAGGGCUGGGAGAAAUCCGAGGGAGAGGCUUCCUGCCCUCAGUGCAGGGAAAGGGUGGAGCAAAGCAGCAUCAGGAGAAACCAGCAGCUGGCAAAUGUUGUGGAAAUAGCCAAGAAAUUCAGUCAUCUGGGCGGAAAAAAGGAGGCCGAAGGAAAAAGAAGCGUCUGCGAGAAGCACCAGGAGCCCCUGAAGCUCUUCUGCCAGGAGGACCAAAGCCCCGUCUGUGUGGUGUGUCAUGUAUCCAAGGAGCACAAAAGCCACGAGGUGAUUCCUCUGGAGGAGGCGUCCCAGGAGUACAAGGUAGGAAAAGGCAGUGGGUCUUUCUUGGGGGUGGAAGAGCUGCAGACAAAAGGGGCUAUUAAUAAUAAUGAUAAUAAUAAUAAUAAUAAUUGUAAUGUAUUCUCUCCACUUGCAGCCCAAAAGGAAUUCUUGUGCAGCCUGAUGAAACUAAACUUCUGAAACUUUAUACAAUAAACAUUUAUUUUCCUUUUUGAGGGUUUAAAGUGCACCGCCUGAAUGCAGGCUGCAGUAACUCCCCUGGGAGGAAAGAUUACAACAUCUAGGAUUAAUUUAAUAAAAAGGAGGGGGGAGAUGUGGGAGGUGUUCUCAGUGUGGGGGACAAAUAGCAAACCCCCCAUGUUUCUCAGCUCUGAUAUAGGGCAGCCCCAUUUCUGCCUCCUCUGGGAUGAAAAGGGGAACCUCUGCAAAAGACCCAGGGAUGUGGAGCAGGGAGCAAACAUAGGAUUCAGCUUGCCUGUUAAUGUAUAAUGCAGCCCAAUUUGAAUUUUGUUUUCUUUUCAGGAUCAGAUCAGCAGCUGCCUAGACAAUGUGAGGAAGGAGAGAGAGAAAAUUCUAGUAUUUAAAGCAAACACAGAAAAGGAAAGCCAAGACCUGCUCGUAAGCGCCAUUGUUACUACUUUAAGAUGAAAAAUGCUGUACAGUGGUUACCAGUACAUAUGCUUCAGGUUACAUACGCUACAUACAUAGCCGUUACAUCCGCUAACCCAGAAAUAGUACCUUGGGUUAAGAACUUUGCUUCAGGAUGAGAACAGAAAUUGUGUUCUGGCGGUGCGGUGGCAGCAGGAGGCCCCAUUAGAUAAAGUGGUGAUUCAGGUUAAGAACAGUUUCAGGUUAAGAACCGACCUCCGGAACGAAUGAAGUACUUUUCCUUUUUCUGUUUUUUAUGGUGCAGAAACAAACAGGUGCAGAGAGGGAAAAGAUGGUGGCUGAGUUCAGGCGACUGCACCAGUUUCUGGAAGAAGAGGAGAAACGUAUUCUGGCCCAGAUGGCAGAGGUGGAGAAGGAGAUUGCAGCCCAAAGGGAGGAGCAGCUGGCCAGACUCUCCAGGGAACUCUCCUCUCUUGACAGCCUCAUCCGGGAGAUGGAGGAGAAGCUUCAGGAACCAGCGAGUGAACUCCUGCAGGUGAGGCCUCAUCCUGAUGCGAGAGGGUGGAGUGUGCUGCUUCAGACUACAGUGGUACCUCGGGUUACAGACGCUUCAGGUUACAGACUCCACUAACCCAGAAAUAGUACCUUAGGUUAAGAACUUUGCUUCAGGCUGAGAACAGAAAUGGUGCGGCGGCAGCGGGAGGCCCCAUUAGCUAAAGUGGUGCUUCAGGUUAAGAACAGUUUCAGGUUAAGAACGGACCUCCAGAACGAAUUAAGUACGUAACCUGAGGUACCCCUGUACAAGCAUUUCUUAGUCCUUCCCCACAUAAAAAUACUGUUGUCAGAGAAACAAGCAGUACAUGAAUGCUAAAAGGCGUCAGACCUGGCACAGGAGCCAACUCUGAGGGGCUGAGGUCCCUUGACACCCCAAUGAAAUAUUUGAGAGGACCAGCCCCCCCCCCAAUAAUGGACAUUUGUUUUGAAAUGGGGUGUGUGUACUGCAUCUUGUGAUUGAUUAUGUGGGGCGGAGCUUACCUGCCCACCCCCCAAUAUUUUUACUACAUCAAACCACAGGCCCUUUCUCUCCUGCUUCCUGUUCUUGCAUUGGCCAACCAGAGGUCUCUGGGAAGCCCACAAGCCAAUAGAACUCUGUAUUCAAUUAACCUUUACUCAGAGUAGACUAUCUUAGGUUCAUUAAUUUCAGUGUGUCUGAGUAAACGGUAGUUGAAAACAACCGAUACUGCCUCCAGCACAGGCAUUCCAAAUUGGCACUGCAUCACAUUUUCAUUCAGAUGCUGUCUUGGGUCCUGCCAGAGAGGGGGUGACCUAUUAUUAUUAUUAUUAUUAUUAUUAUUAUCAUUAUUAUUAAAAUAAGUUUGUGUACCAUCCUGUACCCACAGGUCUCAGGGUGGUUCCCAGGAUAUGAUUGAGUGCGGGAUGUACAUAGCAGUGAACCGAUUAGUUGCAUGUGAACACGGAACCAGCAUGCGCUGCAGGGCAAAAUGGCAAAUCAGGGAGGUGGGAUUGAAUCUCUCAGGUGUUUGGGUGACUUGGUCAAAAGAGAAGAAAAGGACCUUUUAUUAGUCAUCACUGGAAUGGCUGACUUUUGCCACCUGAUGGUUAUUCCAAAAUUACGUGGCACUGCAUAUUUUAUUGAGGGUCUUUUGUCCUCGGCUAACAUCUCUCUAGGGAUGCGGAUGGCGCUGUGGGUUAAACCACAGAGCCUAGGACUUGCCGAUCAGAAGGUUGGCGGUUCGAAUCCCCGCAACGGGGUGAGCUCCCGUUGCUCGGUCCCUGCUCCUGCCAACCUAGCAGUUCGAAAGCACAAAGUGCAAGUAGAUAAAUAGGGAAGGUAAACGGCGUUUCCGUGCGCUGCUCUCGUUCGCCAGAAGUGGCUUAGUCAUGCUGGCCACAUGACCCGGAAGCUGUACACCGGCUCCCUCGGCCAAUAAAGCGAGAUGAGCGCCACAACCCCAGAGUCGGCCACGACUGGACCUAAUGGUCAGGGGUCCCUUUACCUUUUUAACAUCUCUCUGCUUCAACUGCUUAGCAUUUAUAACUGACCGCAGGGCUCUCUGCAGAUAUGGCUCCACGGAUAUCUUUUUCUUUCCUUCCUUCCAGGAUAUCAGAAGCUUCUUGCAGAGGUAAGUGAUGGAAAUCUACUGCUUUAAGAAAACCCCUGCCUUAUUAUGAUGCUAGGAACAUUCUUGUUUAACAGGUGAGAAACUCACUCUCCAGUUCCUCCUUUCAGAGAUAGCUUAGGACUCCACCGUACAUUUCAAAAAAUCACAGACAAAAGUAGAGACCCAUUUUUGUGGUAGUUUGUAGCUACAAACACAGACAGGAAGCCGUUCCCAUUGCAUAUUUCUGAAGGCCCUUCUCUGUGAUGGAUUCAUUUACUCUUAAAUUGACAGAAAAAGGGGGGACAUUCCAAAGGUGCUUGUAAAUAUCUUUACUUUUACCUUUACAAUACGUUUAUAAUGCUAAUUGCAAAAGCCAUUCUAAAGCAUUCUGCACUUACUUAUAUUUCAGAAAUGCACAUACCAGAUCUAUUUUGUUUUGCCAUUAAUCACUUGAAAUGCUUCACUAAAACUGAUGUAGUCCUAAAAUCUCUGCGUAAGGACCCAUUAUUGUUCACUUUUCUUCAAAAAAUAAUAAUUUGCAUACAUCAGCUUCUUUACCUUCAAUCUCAUAUUCAUAUAUUUCCUUCAGUAUAUUUUGGAAGCAGGUGUCUUUCAAUUUUCCUUCAACUUCUUAGAUACUUUCUAGAUCCACACGUCAGCUCAAUGCUCCUUUUUGCCAUAGGAACACCCUGCUCCCAAGUCUUCAUGAUAUACCGUAUUUUUUGCCCUAUAGGACGCACUUUUUCCCCUCCAAAAAUGAAGGGGAAAUCUGUGUGCGUCCUAUGGGGCGAAUACAGGCUUUCGCUGAAGCUUGGAGAGCGAGAGGGGUUGGUGCGCUUCUCCCCAGCGCCAGCCCCACAAGCUCAAGGGACAGCGGGGAGGCGCAGCGCUGCCACACCGCUGUUCCCCGACCUGGUUUUGGGGGGGAAAUAAAGGAAAAAAAAUUCCCCUUUAUUUCCCCCCCAAAAAACUAGGUGCGUCCUAUGGGACGAAAAAUACGGUAUCCAUCAUGCCUUUAUCAUCAGGAUGAGGCACCUGCCUUGUCAGAAAGCUCCUUGCAUUGGAAGAAUGGAGGCUUGACUUUGUUCUUCUCCUCCCAGGUCUCAGGAGAAGGAGAACUUAGAGGAUCCUCCUGUGGCUUUUCCUCCUGCCCUGAAGUGGAAGAUCUGGGACUUCGGAGAGAUAAAUCCCUUCCUGGAGGGAGUCAUGGAAAAAUUCAGAGGUAAUAAAGAAGGGCUGAAAGGAUUGUUAGCUGGAUGUUUAGAAGUGUUCACAACAAGCUCCAGGUCAUAGGGAAUAUUAGCCAAGCCAGGAAAAUGGAAGUUUUAUUUAUUUAUUCUCUUCCAACAUCUAGAAGCCGCACUUUUAUAUGUAGAUGACUGAUUUUACUUAAGCAAUUGAAAGGGGAUGGUCAACCCUUCUUGCUGGGCUCUGGAAGCUCUUGCGAGAUCCUUGGGGAGCCUCCCACAUUCCAGUCAGCAAGGUAAAGGGCUUGAAAGUUCUUGCCACGAAGGGUGUUGGCCACCACGCAAAUCACAUUUACACCAUCCUCCUUGCUUACUGGGCUCUGAGAGGCUCCUGCGAAAUCUCAUGGGGCCGUCUGGAGAUCUCAGAUGGCAGGGGUGAUUUUCUGGGGUUUUUCUGACUUCCCACAAUUUGCCUUUAUGCACAACCCCCAGGAAUGUAACCCUCCCUUAAGUUGCGAGUUGUCUGUAAAAAGUUGUCCUUGACCUCUGCACAUCUCUCAGCCAGGCUUUGGGUGCUUUCACGUAUCUCACCCAUUUCUCAAGUACCCUCACCUACAGAUUUUCAGGCAUCUCUCCUGUUCCUUUGGCCCUGAGAUUGAUGUAAGGGGGGCAGAAGGAGGGGGGCUGUCCAGGAGCCAGCCAGGAGCAGAGGGGUUGAGGCCUCCCGUCCUGCAACAGGGGUGUCUGGAUCUUGUUGCUGAUGGGGGGAUCUUCUGGGGGUCCUGCUCCUCCUCCCAAGAUUUGGGCAGGCCUGAACCUCGACAUGACCUUAUGCAGGAUAGCCAGUAGGAUGAGUUUCAGAGAGUUUUAACUGCAACUCCCUGUGGCCUGUGGUUAGGGAUGAUGGGACUUGUAGUCCACGACACCUGGCUACAAUCUCAUGAGCUCAUAUUCUUGUUGCCAGGUUUGUUGUCUGAAUGAUAGUGUGAUGCUAAAUUCUGUUCCUCUUUCUCUUCCAGACACUGUGGAAUAUGGACUUCAGCUGCAAAAAGGUACAAAUAAUAAUAAUAAUAAUAAUAAUAAUAAUAAUAAUAUUUAUACCCUGCCCAUCUGGCUGGGUUUUCCCAGCCAUUUUCCCAGGCACAAAUUCGGGAGAGAUGGGAUCCACUUCUCAAAAGAUCAGGCCACUGCAGCUCUUCCGUCCAUGCCUUCUUUCCCCUUCUUUCCCAGAGGCAUCCAGUGCCGGGACUCCUGCAUCUCACUGCAGAACAUGGAGUGGAGUCUCCUUCCUUGGAGGUUUUUAAGCAGAGUUGGGUGGCCCCCUGUGGUGGAUGCUUUAGUUGGGAUCCCUGCAUUGCAGGGUGUUGGACUAGAUGACCCUUGGGGUCCCUUCCAACUCUACAAUCAUAUAAUGCGCUUUCAAGAAUCCCAAGCAGGACAUUUCACACAGGGGGGUCAGGGAAGGCUAACCACUUUAUUGCUUUUUAUAAACUAUCUGGAAGGAUGGGCUAUAACAUAAUAUUAAAGAUGUAACUGAAAGUUGAAUGGUGGUUACAAGGAGGGUGAGAGCACCUUCUGCCAGAUUUACGUGGCAUGUCAAGCAUGUGAUGUGAGGUAAAAUAUUAAGGUGUGAAUUAGGGAGUCCCUGCUUUGACUCCCUUUUGCCAUGAACUGUGUGGGGUGGAGGUGGCCUUAGACAAGCCACUGUCUCUCUGCCUCAGUCCUCCCAUCUGAAAAAUGGGCAUAGUAAGAUUGACUUAACUUACAGGGAAGUUGCAGGGUUCUAAGUAGAUAGAGUGUGUUAAGUACGUUGAACCCUUGAAAGAACUUCAAAUGUUUCAAGAAUCAUCAAUAAGAACUUGAUGAACACCCCUGUCUCGAAGGCAGAGCCAUGGAGAGGGUCAGCUUCCCAGUUGACAUCGCUUCUCUUCUCUUUCCUCCUCUGCCCCCCCAGAAAAUGUAACUUUGGAUCCAGACACAGCACAUCCCCUCCUCAUCCUGUCUGAGGAUCGAAAGAGUGUGAGACAGGGAGAAGUGCGUCAAGACCUGCCAGACAACCCUGAGAGAUUUGACAGAUAUACCUAUGUGCUAGGAUGUGAGGGUUUCACGUCAGGCAGACAUUUCUGGGAGGUCACUGUGGGAAGAGAGGAGAGAUGGGGGGUGGGGGUGGCCAGGAAGUCUAUGAAGAGGAAGGGUGAUUCCACUUUUGGUCCUAAGGACGGGAUCUGGGGUUUCGGGAAGUGGAAAGGAGGGUACAUCCCCAAUAAGGCCCCUGUUCCAAGUGAGGAGCCCAAGAGGAUCCAAGUGGCCCUGAACUAUGAAGGGGGACGGGUGUCCUUUUACGAUGCUGAUACAGCAGCCCUCCUCUACACAUUCCCGGCAGCCUCCUUCUCAGGAGAGACCCUCCAGCCCUUGAUUUACGUGGGGAAGAAAGAGAACCUGAGACUCUCUUGACUUGAGGGUGCAGACAGACAAGCGUCAAUCAUGAUGCAACUCUCUCUUCUUGGGCCAGCUUUCACUGGACAACAAACCUUCCUUAGCCUCAAUCCUGCUCUCAGAUUCCCUUUUCCUCCCCCAAGAUCUCCACUGGCCAGGGAGAUGGAAGUUCCAAAAUCCCUUUUUUUGCUACUCCUCAGGGAAGCUUAUGUGGCAAUUCAGCAAAAUCUCCAUAUCCAAAGAGACCUGUUUGCUAGUUGAGUGCAGAUUGCACCCUGGAGCCAUUCCUUAAAACAAAUUAAUAAAUAGAAAGAACACAAGAGACCGGGACGGGAAACACUGUUGGAAGGGACUGUGUGAGAUCUCUCAGGAGUCUCCAGAGCCCAGAAAGCAAUGAGAGGGUGGGGCUUUGGCAGUGGGGGAAAGAGUUUCUAAGUCCACCUUGCUUACUGACCUCUAGAAAGGUCAAGAUCUCUGGCUUUGGACAAGUAAGGAUGGUUGCUUGGGGGGCAUUUUCGAGGGUCUUCCUGACUUAUUCAAUAUUGCCCUUCCAUACACGAAGAGUCGGACACGACUAAACAACAACAAAAAUGCUGACCCCAGGAAUGUCACCCGCCCACUUAGGUCUUGGGCCUUGAUGUAGCAAAAUCCCCUCUGACAAUGAGGAGCCUCUGUCAGAGGUUCUGAAUGACAAUCUAGACUAGAGACUUUCAGGGGGGGGGGUAAAUUCCCAUGUAUACAAUUAUUUACUCCAAGAUGCUUUGUAGUGACCAGUCAGAUACUUAUCUGUAUUUUUAGAAAUCACCUCUUCUUAUAUUUUUGUAUAAUGGGCCUGAAAGUAUUUGGGGAUAUGUUUCCUGUGCUAACGUGUUUGAUUCUAUUAAAGAUUGUACGUCUUGUUGCUUCUAUUUUGUCUGAUACUCAAUAGUAUAAUAACCAUUCCCCAUGACACUUCCUCCAGGGAUUUUAGGAGGGUGAUA